rnacentral:miRNA from 1 species
GAUGAUUGUGCACUGGUGAGG